GCCGCUGUAGCUCAAUUGGUAAGAGAAUCGGACGGCUAAUCCGAAGAUCGCAGGUUCGGUCCCUGCCGGCGGCA